rnacentral:rRNA from 1 species
UACGUAGGGGGCUAGCGUUGUCCGGAAUCAUUGGGCGUAAAGCGCGUGUAGGCGGUCCGAUAAGUCCGCUGUGAAAGUCGAGGGCUCAACCCUCGAAUGCCGGUGGAUACUGUCGGGCUUGAGUACGGGAGAGGCGAGUGGAAUUCCUGGUGUAGCGGUGAAAUGCGCAGAUAUCAGGAGGAACACCGAUUGCGAAGGCAGCUCGCUGGAACGUUACUGACGCUGAGACGCGAAAGCUAGGGGAGCAAACAGG